rnacentral:lncRNA from 1 species
CUCAGACUUUUUGCUGAGAAAUACAACACUGCAGGAGUUCCACAUGGACAGUGGGAUCAAGUGCACUCUCAGCAAGUUUGCAGAUGACACCAAGGUGAAUGGUGCAGUUGACAUGCUAGAAGGAAAGGAUGUUAUCCAGAGGGACCUGGACAGGCUUGAGAGGUGGGCCCAUACCAAUCUCAUUAAAUUCAGCAGGGCCAAGUGCAAGAUCCUGCACCUGAAUGGGGGGCAAUCCCAAGCACAAAUACAGAUUGUGUGGAGAAUGGUUUGAGAGUAGCCCUGAUGAAAAGGGCUUGGGAGUGUUGGCUGAUGAAAGACUCAACAUGAGCUGGCAAUGUGCUCUUGUGGGGUUGCAUCAAGAGAAGUGUGGCCAGUAGGUCAAAGGAGGUGAUUCUGCCCCUCUGCUCUCAUGAGACCUUAACUGGAGCACUGCAUCCUAUUAUGAGGCCCCCAGCAUGAGAAGGACAUGGAGUUCUUGCAGUAGGUCCAGAAGAGGGCCAAGAAGAUGAUCAGAAGGAUAGAGCACCUCCCCUAUGAGGACAGGGAUUUACAAGUAGCAACAGUGCAGAACUGCUGUGCCAAGGUGUGGGGCCAAGGAUCUAGCAGAGAUCCACCUCUGCCUCUUCUCACCAAGUUCCUCUGCAAGUUCAGGCCUAACCACGUGGGGAAGCACCUGUGAUCCUCUUGGGCGUUGGCUCCAGUGCUCCGUGCUUUGGAAUGGGCACCUUUCAUUUCUGAAAACAGCUUUCUAGCCCUAAUUUGUCUGCGAUCAACAUACCACAACACCAAUCAGUCCUGUGGCACAAAUGGAAGUAAAUUAUUACCUUGCUCACCGUACAGAAAGUAAGGAACUGAACUUCAUGACUGGUAAGGAAGAUCUGCCAAGACUGUGGGCUUGACCGUGUGCUUGUAGUUUGAAAUGGUGCCAGCUAAGUGCAUCUUCUGCACAUCUUCUAAAAGAAGCUUUUUGCUAAAUCUAAAGGAGUAUUGGGCAACAUGGAUCUAUUGAGCUUGGUCUUUACAAAGCAAUGUGGACAGCUAAACUGGAUAAAAAAGAUUCAGU